rnacentral:rRNA from 1 species
UACGUAGGGACCAAGCGUUGUUCGGAUUUACUGGGCGUAAAGGGCGCGUAGGCGGCAAUUCAAGUCAUCUGUGAAAUCUCCGAGCUUAACUCGGAACGGUCAGAUGAUACUGCUUUGCUAGAGUGCAGAAGGGGCAACCGGAAUUCUUGGUGUAGCGGUGAAAUGCGUAGAUAUCAAGAGGAACACCUGCGGCGAAGGCGGGUUGCUGGGCCGACACUGACGCUGAUGCGCGAAAGCUAGGGGAGCGAACGGG